rnacentral:lncRNA from 1 species
AAGCAUAAACAGAGAGACUGAAGAAAGCAAGGAGAAUGAAGAGGGCAAAGAAGGUGAAAGCGAGCACAGAGAGAGAGAGAGGAAGGAGAGUGAAGAGAGCAAAGAAAGUGAAAGCGAACACAGAGGGAGUGAAGACAGCAAGGAGAAUGAAGAGAGCAAAGAAAGUGAAAGCGAGCACAGAGAAAGUGAAGAGAGGAAGGUGAAUGAAGAGAGCAAAGAAAGUGAAAGCGAACACAGAGAGAGUGAAGACAGCAAGGAGAAUGAAGAGAGAAAAGAAAGUGAAAGUGAGCACAGAGAGACUGAAGACAGCAAGGAGCACGAAAUGAGC